AGCCCCCGCGCUCCCCAAUAAAGGAUGCACCCACCGAGCCCGAGGACUGAAACAUUGUUUAGGGGACCCCAGGCACUGAAGGGCGGGUUCCUGGAGAUGGACAUUUGGAGUGCGGUGCCAGGGGCUUGGGAGGAUUCCCGCGUAUACGUGGUGUGAAAGUCAGUCUUUGAAUGUAGAGCAGAUCAAUGUGGAAUGAGGACUGAAAGGUCUGUCAACUGAAAAAAAAAACAAGAAUGAAUAUAAAAAAUCACAAAUUAAAUAAACCAUGGUCCAUCCAUA